UACGGAGGGGGCUAGCGUUGUUCGGAAUUACUGGGCGUAAAGCGCACGUAGGCGGCUUUGCAAGUUAGAGGUGAAAGCCCGGGGCUUAACCCCGGAAUUGCCUUUAAAACUGCAUCGCUAGAAUUGUGGAGAGGUGAGUGGAAUUCCGAGUGUAGAGGUGAAAUUCGUAGAUAUUCGGAAGAACACCAGUGGCGAAGGCGGCUCACUGGACUGGUAUUGACGCUGAGGUGCGAAAGCGUGGGGAGCAAACAGG
rnacentral:rRNA from 1 species